AGACUGCGAAAGUAUACUAUCUAGAAACUCAGACUUCCGAAAACCUCACGCAAUAUAAAAGGUUCUACCCUUUACCCAGAACAUGAAUUUCUUUCCUUAUCCACGCUCUAAUUUUUAUCAAAUUAAUUACUAACAAAAUUAAUGCCUUCAGAAACCCCAACCUCAAAAUACAAAUAUCCAAUCUUGUUCCUUGAAAUAAAACGCACUUUUUUGGUUUAUUUGCUGCACAAAAUAUGUUUUUAAUACAAACUUAAAAAUUUCUAUACAUAUGAUUUCAAAAAAAUUAUGUAGAUUAUUAUUUAAUAUUGAAUCUUGUCUGGUUUUGUUCAUUGCAUUGUUCAAUAUUUGGGAGCAACAUGGAUUAUCUCCCAUUUUCAUUGAUUCCAUUCUUGACCUCUUUACUAUUAUUUAUAUGAAUUUUACAUCUUUUUAUUUAUAGUUAUAAUAUUAACACUGUGUGGUUGAAAAUGUGCUAUGGGAGACAAUGCUCAUAUAGUUUUUAUUAUUUCAAUAUAUAAUAUAUGAAUAUAACAUUUUCAUUCAAUAGUUUUUAAUGGUGUAUUUUCAUUUUAUUUUUAAUUUUGCAUUUUCCUUUGGUAGGGGUAUUGUGUUCAUUUAAUUUAGUUUAUUUUUUUCAAGUAACCAGCUAUCACUUAGUUCUUUUUUUUCUAUAGACUAUUUAUGCUAUGCAUUUUUCUAUUGAGAUAUAUAGACGUAAUAUGCGUUUCCAUCAUGCAAAAAGAUGUUCAGUUUAACAUAAUUUUUUGAUAGUUGUAUUGAUGUGUAACAUAAUCGAAACAUUAUUUUAGUUUUUGUCUUUUUCUUUUUUAUAUAAAAAUGUAAUGUUUAUAAUUUUUUGAAGUUUUUAUUCACGUCAACAUUUACACGAACACUAUUUCAUACUUUUUCCUUAAUUUUCAUAUUAGCCUUAAAAUUGUACACAUAUUAUUUAUGAAAAGAGUAGAAAAGUAAAAAUCUUUAUUCAUUACAUGUAAUUAUUUUAGUAUAUAUUUUUGCUUUUUUAAUUACUUCCCGUAAUUCCUUAUAAUUAUUCUAAUAUGAUAAUAUAAUUCCAUAUAAUAAAAAAACAUUAUAUCUAAAGGGACUAUAAAAUUCAUUUAUAAAACAAGGUAUUUAGCAUAUCGAAUUUCCGUUUUGUCCUAAUAUCGUGACAAUCUAGAUAUUUUAAAUCGAAAAAUUUGCCGUUUUUUUUUAAUGCAACUUAAUCAAUUUUAUUAGAAGUAGCUAAUAUUUUUAAUUGCAUUGUUUUUAAUAUAAACAUUUUUAUAGUAACGUGCAUUGAUGUCAUCACUUGGUGAAAAGAACAUUGGGAAUUAAGUUAAUCAAAUUACUCUGGCUUAGUUGGUGGACAUAUUUGUUUCAUUUUUAUGUAACAGUUUGAUUGAAAGCAAACUUUAAGCGUAGAAUAGCUGUAUAUUGAUAAUAACAAUCAUUAUUAACAAUAUAUGAGGGUCAAUUACUUUAUUUUUUAUUGCACUGUUAAUGGAAGCAAAGUAAACCAGAAGAAAUUAUAGUACAGCGAAAGCUAUUGUACAUAGUCAUGGACUCUAUUAAUUCCCUUUUCUCAUGUGAUUUCAUUUCAGUUUUCUUAUACAAUUUUGCGUAUUUGUUGGUUUUCAUUUGUUUUCAUGUACAUUUUGUAGCGCCUUGGGGUGUGCAGUAAUGCAUUGUGUUUAUUUUAUUCACACAUUUUUUUGUAGACAAAACUCCUCAGAGUGCCUUUGGUUACCUUUCGUUCAGGUAUUUAUUAUGAUAUAUUAUAUUGCUGACUGAAUAUUUCUUUUAUAUGAAUCGAGUAUCCUUUUUUAUUCAUUUGUUAGAACAGGAAAUUAUUACUCAAAUAAUAUAGUAUUCAAAUGUGUUUUAUUUUACAUACUUAAUGUUGAACUGCCUCUUGAUUAAUGGUAGGAAAACAGGAACACAUACGUGUAAUAAAUUGUAUUUGUUUUAAAUUAAUAGAAACGUUUAUACAUAUUGAACCGAAAUCUUUUCCAUAGCUUCACGUUAAUUAUGAUUAGGUUGUGGGAGUGCUAGAAUGGUACACGUAUUUAAAAUGAUUGCUUCCACUAACUUUCAUUGGCUGAAGUGGCGAACAAUUUCUGUAACUGUUGAGGUUUUGUACUAAGGGUGGUAGAUCUAUAUGAGUUCAUUUCGUUAUAGAAACUUGUUACAAAUCAGCGGAAAACGAAUUAAAUGAGCUAUUUAGGUAAUUAUUGCAAAUGAAUUAAACAUUUGUUUGUUUGUUAUAUCAUAAUUUAAUUUAUUUAUAUAACCCUAUUCACCUCAUAUAAAAUGAAGUAACCGUUAACGAAAUUCGGCGUUUUGAUUAAAAAUUCGCACUAUGAUAUUAGUCUAGUAUAUUUAAUGGAAUCUAUAGAAGCACAGCAUAAUUUGUCUUAUCAAUUGUCAUUUGAAUAUUUCGCUUAACAUUAGGUUACAUCUGCAUGCUUUAGUUAUUAUAUGUGGAAUAUUUUUUAUUAUUUUCAGAAAAUUAGUGAAUGGAACUUGGAAAGCCAAAUAUCUUACACAAAUUAUUUACACUUCUGUUUUCUGUUUUAUAUAAAAAUAAAAAAGAAUCACUUUAUCAUAUUAAUGAGCUUUUUGUUUUAUAAUUUUCUUUGUGUGUAUAUAAAAUAUAUGUUUAUUAUCUGUGUAAAAUUCUUUCUAUUAUUCUUUUUUUUUGGUUGCAUUUAUCUUUCAAUCUUUUUUUGUGAGCAUUCAGAUUUUUUCCUAUCUCGACAUUCAAUUACAUUUUUCAGCUGAAUCUUGUUCAUAGGAAAACUCCUAAUCUGGAAAUAUUCCUCAAUUUUUUAAUUGGUUUAAAUAAAAUUAUGGAAAAAGUAUAUUAAUUUAGUAUUUUUUCCUACAAAUUUCCUUCAAAUAUUUUAGACAUCUAUAUAUUGUAGAUUGCUUUCAUUCAUGAUGUGAAUUCGGUUUGUAUAAUAUGUACCAAAUAAUUGAUUUCUCUUUUGGGAAAAUAAAUAAAAUAAAAUUCAAACGCUUUCACAUUUAUUAAUACUAGAAAACUGCUUGGAGAAACCUAAAUUAUUUAUUUAUAUAAAGGGAAAUCAAAGUGUAUAAAUAGGAAUUUGUUUGAAAUGGAAAGGACCAUGGCUAAAGAAAGUUAAUGGUGAUUUGGGAGCCCUCUAUGUUGUGAAGUAAAAGUCACCAGGCUUAUUAGGGAAAUGCAUGUAGUAGAUGUAUCGCGGUUGAUUUGCUUCCAUCUCAUGAACAGCGUUCCCGUUUGCAAGCUUACGAACCUGAGGGACUGAAUGAGCCCACAAACACACGUUUUGUUCUAUAUUUCCAAGAUACCCGUAAAAAUUCUCUUGAUUUUUCUUUUAAUGUAGCAAAUGCCACGAAAAAUGAGUUUGUGCAUAUUCCCUAUAAUAGAACUCACCGUCUUAUUAUGUAUAUAUGAAAAAUCUGCUUUUUUUUCGAUUAUAUUUGAAAUUAACAAAUCACUUUUUCUCCGUUUGCGUGAAAAUAACUAUAAAAAUUAAAUGAAUAAAUCAGAUGUUAUUUUCUUUUCAAACAUUUCAAGCGCAUUGUAAGUAUUCGUCACCAUAAAGUUUCGGUAGAGAUAAAACUGCAAUUAUAUUAUAUAUGUACAAUAUAUUUAGUCAUAUCUUUAUACAUAUGUAGUAUAUAUAUAAAUUGAUAGAAAAAUGCAAAAAAUACAACAAUUAAACACCACAUAUUGAUAUCAUUUCAUUUUUCCUAAAUACUCUGGAGAUUUUUUAUAGUUUUUGCUAUAAUUUAUAUUAGAUUUUUUUCAUUUGCUUCUAUUCUAACAAGAAUAUUUAUUAAACACUUUACUAAAUAGGUUGCAUAAAUCUUGUAUUUUUUUUAUUUAUUUUUAUUUUUCAUUCGUAUUGUGAUUUCGUAUGAAAAAAUUUUAAUUAGUGAACAUGUUUUUGUUUGAAUAAAAAAUCUACGUUCAGUAACAAACUAGUCUAUUCUAUUUCUUCUCCAUUUCUAAAAUAGUACAGCUACGAUAAUCACUGUUUUUAUCAUAUAUUUAUACUUCCUAGAUUUACCUACUAUUUACUAUACUGUUUUUAUGGUUUUAAUCAGAUUUGUGGAUUGUGUUCUGACUAUUUUCUUUUAUUUUGUCCGCUAUGUAUUGAAAAAAUAUAUAUAUAUUUCGAAAUCACAUCUAUUGGUUACCUAAAUCUAGGCAUGCCUCUAUUUCAUUCAAUAAUCUUUACAUGAGUUUCAUUAGCGGAAGUUCUUUCUAUUAGUUUAGAACAGGAAUUAUGAUGGUUUUAAAUUUUGUUUAUGAAUGAGCUCACUUGUUGGGAGUUAAGGAAUUGAUUAUGCUUCCUUGUUUAGAUUCAAGCUGGCGCCGAGGAUAAGAAAAUUAAUGUUUCUUAAUUAUUUAGUGGUAAAAAAUAGUAUUUGCUAUCUCAAAUUAGAUUAUUGGUACAAUAGAAUUUGAAUCCAGAAUAUUAACAAAAUAUUUAUGGUAUGGCCAUCGAAGCGUGGUAAUUUCCGAUAUUUACAAAUACUAUGGAAAUUUAGUUUUAGCUGUUUUCACAUAUUCAAUACUCACAAUUUUUACUAGACAGGUACUUUAUAGCUAUGGUAUAGGUACGUAUUUUAGUUCCUUCUUUAAUCCGCACGUAAUAUUAUUUUCAUAUUUAUCCACUAUUUGUUAAAGAUCAAUCUUUUUAAGUAGCUCAAGUAGGAGUGAGUUAUAUAUUCAGGAUGACUUUCAGAAAAAAAUUUUGCAAAUAUUAUAUAUUAGAUUUUGCUGGAUGGGUCGCAGGAGCCAACUGCAAGCUGUAGUUUUACAGGAAUAGUAUCCAGGGUUCCUUAACUGGAGGUGUAAAUUGCUUGUGGAUCUUUAAUAACGUUUAAUAUAUACGUCCUUCGGACUACCUCGAAAGAUUAUGAACGAUUUACGAAUGCAUCAACGUAAGCUUCGUAUAUAUUAUAAAGAUGUUUUGGUUGGAAGAUAUUAGACUGUGAAAUCUAACGUUUCUUAAAUGUUGGCGCCUUUAAAAUUCCUUUUUUUUCCAUAUAUGAUGUGCAAUCAUACCUUACCCUUAUCAUAUGCGUGUUUUUACUUUGUAGACAUUCAUUUUUUGAAAUAGGUGUGUCUGGAGGUUAUUCCCGAUAGUAAUGAAAUGAUAACGAUUAGCACCUUGUUUUUUGUUUUACUUUUAAUUUUUUUUUAUGAAUAAGUUUCAAUUAAAAUUUAUAGCCCUUAUAAUUUAGGUAACAAGUUGUAGUUCUUUUUCAAUUUUAAAUGAUUUUUAUAUUACGGCUAAAUCAGCAUUUUCCUUUUUACCAUUAUUUUCUUGACUAUAUUCACUUUUAUAGAUUUUUCUAUAUUAUAUUCUUUAUCAAUCAAUCAAUUUGAGCUUAAUACCCAUUGUUUUACUUAUAAAUCGUUAUUGAAUAUUGAUUUUCUUUCAACAUUGAAUGGAUGAAAAAAUUCAUCAUUUUUCCGUCUCAAUUAUUGUAUUAACUUGAUAUGCAAAUGUAAAACUGUUUCUGAUUAAAAUAUUAGCCUCUCCAUUUUGGCUUUCCUUAACUGAUAAUUUAAGCGUCAUUGUGUUUGUGUGUGAAUGUGAAUUGGCGAAUUAUUAGGAAAACAAAUUUAAGCUUUACUCAAUCAAAUAUUUUAAUGCAUUAACGGAAAUGAGAAAACCAGCAGCAGUGCCCUUCGGAGCUUUGCCUUUACCCAUGUUUGGAAUUCAUGUACAAUACAGUAAUGUGGCAAUGUUAAGUAUUAAUAAUGGUUUAAAAAUGUUGCUUCGAAAAUACUUUUUAAGUGUGUGCCCCACUGUUUCUUAUAACCUUAUGAUUAUAUUUAUAUAGAUUUCUGUUAUUGAUUAAAAUAAGAUUAAAUACCUGUUUGCAUACAAUCGGCUUGGUGUACAGUUUUAACAUUAACGAAUCUAUCUUUUUGACCUUUAUUUUAUUUUUCUUUGAAAUAUUGAAUUAUUUCAUAAAAAAAAAUAAAAUAUUAUUUUUAUUGGAAUUUUCUAUUACAAACUAAAUAAAAAAUAUUGGAGUGACACACAAACAUGGAGACUGUCUCAGGUAUAGGGCAAACGAGUUUUUUUACGGAAAACUAUUAUUACUCUUAGAUUUAGCUAGUUUCUGUUCUGUUAACGUAUAAUGUAUAAUAAUUUAAUUAAAAUAAUAAAUAAAUAAAGAUAAAUAAAAAUUUAGUAUAUGUAAUAGAAGGAUAUAAAAAGAUGAGAUAUGCCUUAUAUUGUCCUAACUAUUGAAAAGUAUAGUUUCAAAUAAUAUUGGAAAAUAUUGCUCCAAUUGAAAAUCAAGAGAACUUUUAAAUAUUUUUAAUUAAAAAAUCAAACAAUUAAGUAUCAGAUAUAUUUUUUUUAAAUAAACAUUUUUUGGGAUUUAUUGCGGAUAAUGAUCAUUUUACUUUAUAAAUGCUUAUGCUGCAUUUCAUUCCGUCUUGGCUGGGCGGUUAGAGAUAAAAUACUCUAAAUUCGGGGAUAUAUUUCUUUGAAUAAAUGGCCGUGUCGAAUUGAUUCUCCUUUUAUUUAGUUCAACUUAUUACACAAAUAUUUUUAUUCUUGUGGUUUUGACUACCAAACCAAGAGUUAAAUUUAAUAACUUGGAAAAUUGGUUUAAUAAUAUUUCUGUAGACUCAGUUUGCUUUGAUCAAUAUUUUCGAUAAAGAAAUCUAUUCAGUAAAUUAAUACUGUUCAAGAAAAACCUUCCAGCGACAAUCGAAGAAAAUAUUUCCUUUUUAACUAGGGGAUUUAUUUGAUUUUCGGACAUCAGUAUUUUGGGAACCAAUGGUUCUCUUCUUCAGUGAAAUAGCUUUGAAAACAUCUAUUGCACGAGUAUAUGUAGACAAGAAAUAAUAUCUUUAGCAAAAACAAGUGGUAUCAUUUUUGAAUUAUACUUAAAUUUUGAACAUUGUCUAAUAAAUUCAAUUAGAUCAUGUGGCAGUAAUAGGAACAAGAUUUAUCCUCGUGGAAUUUGAUUAAAUUUUCUUUUGGGUAUUUUCCUGUAAAAUUUCUUAUCCUUAAGGGGUUUCAGCAGAACAUUAUUAUACCAAAACCUAGAAAACGACUUGAAACUAAAUUGAAGAAAGGAUGGAUACUCUUCCUGGUUAAAACCUUUCUUCUCUAGCAAUAUCCAGACCACCUCCGGGACCAUCAACUUCCAACGGCGCCAUGGUUUUUUUUUAACCUGGAGCUAGAAGUACUUCACUUCUAGACUUUCAUGGUUUGUUAGCAACUAAUGUGGCUAGCACUCCUCUCGACUUGGGUUGACUGAUAUCCAGUAAGAUUCAAAUCUUGUUGCGAUAGGCGCGCAAAUCUAAAAUAGGUCGCAUCCGAAGUUAGGAAUUCGUGUAUAAAUUUUUACCUAAAAAAGCAAAUCGUGCUAGCUAUGAAUCUAUAUUUGGAGACCUUGCAAAUCCAACGUUGUUACGAAAAUGUUUCUAAGGGAAGACCCGAUAUAUUCAUGCCUUUAUUCAAUUACUACAAUUAUAUGAAAAAACUGGUGCGUCUGAGCUAGCGUCUUUUAAACAUUUCCAGGAUCAAAAACACGGUGACCAUUGAAUCGAUUUUAAUAAGGUUUUGUUUUACAGAAACCCUUACAGAAAUAAUAAUCCAACUGAUUUUAAGGUUAUUAACAAAAGGGUGAAAUUCUUCAAUUUGUGUCUGAUAUAUUAGCGCGCUUGAAGCGCUUAAAUUGCGUCUUCAUCAAAUUGGCUAUAUUUUGAUUGGGAAACGGGCCGCAAUCCGAAUAACUGAGAUUAGACCUACGAUCCUUUCCACUUAAUAAUAACAGACAGAAUUUUGUUAUUACUUAAAAAUUGUCAGACGAAACAGAGCAGUAGUAGUAGAGAGGAAAAAGCGUAAGUUAAAGGAAGGACCGCUAUUCGUCCUUCCGGCAGAUGGAUAGCGUAAUUUGAAGUCGAAGAAACAAUGUGAAAUUUGGGAAAGGAAUAAAAAUUUGUUAAAAAAGCAAAUGAACUCGUAAAACUUUCUAGAAUGAGCUUAAAGGGGGUUUGCAGUAAAAUUUCAAAAUAUAAUAAUAUAAUAUUAACUUUAUUUGAGCGAAUGUUUCUACAGCGAAUAUUUUGAGGCCUAGAUACUAUAUGCACGGACUACCAUGAUCUCAGAUUUUUAGGUUGUGUAGUUUCUCAGAACGGAUCCUUAAAAUAAUUUACCGUUUUCGAACCCCUGCACUUCUAAUCAAGACCUUUUAUUUGAUACCCCAUAUGGCUAUAUUCGG